UGGGGAAUAUUGCACAAUGGACGGAAGUUUGAUGCAGCGACGCCGCGUGGAGGGUGUAGGCCUUCGGGUUGUGAACUCCUUUUUCUCGCGAAAAAGGCACAGUUUUGGCUGUGUUGAUGGUAGUGGGGGAAGAAGCGCCGGCUAACUACGUGCCAGCAGCCGCGGUAAUACGUAGGGCGCGAGCGUUGUCCGGAUUUAUUGGGCGUAAAGAGCUCGUAGGUGGUUCGUCGCGUCUGUCGUGAAAGCCAGCAGCUUAACUGUUGGUCUGCGGUGGGUACGGGCGGGCUUGAGUGCGGUAGGGGUGACUGGAAUUCCUGGUGUAGCGGUGGAAUGCGCAGAUAUCAGGAGGAACACCGAUGGCGAAGGCAGGUCACUGGGCCGUUACUGACACUGAGGAACGAAAGCGUGGGGAGCGAACAGG
rnacentral:rRNA from 1 species